rnacentral:rRNA from 1 species
GAUGAACGCUGGCGGCGUGCCUAAUACAUGCAAGUCGAGCGAACGGACGAGAAGCUUGCUUCUCUGAUGUUAGCGGCGGACGGGUGAGUAACACGUGGAUAACCUACCUAUAAGACUGGGAUAACUUCGGGAAACCGGAGCUAAUACCGGAUAAUAUUUUGAACCGCAUGGUUCAAAAGUGAAAGACGGUCUUGCUGUCACUUAUAGAUGGAUCCGCGCUGCAUUAGCUAGUUGGUAAGGUAACGGCUUACCAAGGCAACGAUGCAUAGCCGACCUGAGAGGGUGAUCGGCCACACUGGAACUGAGACACGGUCCAGACUCCUACGGGAGGCAGCAGUAGGGAAUCUUCCGCAAUGGGCGAAAGCCUGACGGAGCAACGCCGCGUGAGUGAUGAAGGUCUUCGGAUCGUAAUACUCUGUUAUUAGGGAAGAACAUAUGUGUAAGUAACUGUGCACAUCUUGACGGUACCUAGUCAGAAAGCCACGGCUAACUACGUG